rnacentral:ribozyme from 2 species
UUAGUAAUGCAGCCUCAUGUUGAGAUGGUCACAAGCCCAUAUAAAUGCAGAGUGUUUU